rnacentral:tRNA from 1 species
GAAAUAUGUAAUUCAAGAAUAAGCUUCUAACUUAAUUCUUAAGCGAUGCAACCUCGUUUAUAUUUCU